rnacentral:rRNA from 1 species
AACGGCCGUACCAUGCUGAAUAUACCGGUUCUCGUUAGAUCACCGAAGUCAAGCAUCAUAGGGCGCGGUCAGUACUUGGGUGGGUGACCACCUGGGAACACUGCGUGCCGUU